rnacentral:rRNA from 1 species
GAUGAACGCUGGCGGCGUGCCUAAUACAUGCAAGUCGAGCGAACGGACGAGAAGCUUGCUUCUCUGAUGUUAGCGGCGGACGGGUGAGUAACACGUGGAUAACCUACCUAUAAGACUGGGAUAACUUCGGGAAACCGUAGCUAAUACCGGAUAAUAUUUUGAACCGCAUGGUUCAAAAGUGAAAGACGGUCUUGCUGUCACUUAUAGAUGGAUCCGCGCUGCAUUAGCUAGUUGGUAAGGUAACGGCUUACCAAGGCAACGAUGCAUAGCCGACCUGAGAGGGGAAUCGGCCACACUGGACCUGAGACCCGGUCCAGCCUCCUACGGGAGGCAGCAGUAGGGAAUCUUCCGCAAUGGGCGAAAGCCUGACGGAGCAACGCCGCGUGAGUGAUGAAGUUCUUCGGAUCGUAAAACUCUGUUAUUAGGGAAGAACAUAUGUGUAAGUAACUGGGCCCUUCUUGACGGUACCUAAUCAGAAGGCCCCGGCUACCUCCGU